rnacentral:rRNA from 1 species
UACGAAGGGGGCUAGCGUUGCUCGGAAUCACUGGGCGUAAAGGGUGCGUAGGCGGGUCUUUAAGUCAGGGGUGAAAUCCUGGAGCUCAACUCCAGAACCUGCCUUUGAUACUGAAGAUCUUGAGUUCGGGAGAGGUGAGUGAACUGCGAGUGUAGAGGUGAAAUUCGUAGAUAUUCGCAAGAACACCAGUGGCGAAGGCGGCUCACUGGCCCGAUACUGACGCUGAGGCACGAAAGCGUGGGGAGCAAACAGG